rnacentral:rRNA from 1 species
AGAGUUUGAUCAUGGCUCAGAACGUACGCUGGCGGCACGCCUAACACAUGCAAGUCGAACGAAGUAGCAAUACUUAGUGGCAGACGGGUGAGUAACAUGUAGGUAUCUGCCCUUUGGCCUGGAAUAACACGAGGAAACUUGUGCUAAUACUGGAUAAGUCUUUACGGAGAAAGCUUUAUGCACCAUUGGAUGAGCCUGCACUUGAUUAGUUUGUUGGUGGGGUAAUGGCCUACCAAGACUUUGAUCAAUAGCUGAUUUGAGAGGAUGAUCAGCCACAUUGGGACUGAGACACGGCCCAAACUCCUACGGGAGGCAGCAGUGGGGAAUCUUGCACAAUGGAGGAAACUCUGAUGCAGCGAUGCCGCGUGAGUGAAGAAGGCCUUUGGGUUGUAAAGCUCUUUCGUCGGGGAAGAAAAUGACUGUACCCGAAUAAGAAGGUCCGGCUAACUUCGUGCCAGCAGCCGCGGUAAUACGAAGGGACCUAGCGUAGUUCGGAAUUACUGGGCUUAAAGAGUUCGUAGGUGGUUGAAAAAGUUGGUGGUGAAAUCCCAGAGCUUAACUCUGGAACUGCCAUCAAAACUUUUCAGCUAGAGUUUGAUAGAGGAAAGCAGAAUUUCUAGUGUAGAGGUGAAAUUCGUAGAUAUUAGAAAGAAUACCGAUUGCGAAGGCAGCUUUCUGGAUCAAUACUGACACUGAGGAACGAAAGCAUGGGUAGCGAAGAGGAUUAGAUACCCUCGUAGUCCAUGCCGUAAACGAUGUGUGUUAGACGUUGGAAAUUUAUUUUCAGUGUCGCAGCGAAAGCGAUAAACACACCGCCUGGGGAGUACGACCGCAAGGUUAAAACUCAAAUGAAUUGACGGGGACCCGCACAAGUAGUGGAGCAUGUGGUUUAAUUCGAAGAUACGCGCAGAACCUUACCAACACUUGACAUGUUCGUCGCGACUUUAAGAGAUUAAAGUUUUCGGUUCGGCCGGACGAAACACAGGUGCUGCAUGGCUGUCGUCAGCUCGUGUCGUGAGAUGUUGGGUUAAGUCCCGCAACGAGCGCAACCCUCACUUUUAGUUGCCAUCAUUAAGUUGGGCACUCUGAAAGAACUGCCAGUGAUAAGCUGGAGGAAGGUGGGGAUGACGUCAAGUCCUCAUGGCCCUUACGUGUUGGGCUACACACGUGCUACAAUGGUAUCUACAACAGGAAGCAAGACGGCGACGUUAAGCAAAUCCUUAAAAGAUACCUCAGUUCGGAUUGUACUCUGCAACUCGAGUACAUGAAGCUGGAAUUACUAGUAAUCGUGGAUCAGCGUGCCACGGUGAAUGCGUUCCCGGGUCUUGUACACACCGCCCGUCACACCAUGGGAGUUGGUUCUACCUUAAGGCAAGGUUUAAAACCCUUGACCACGGUAUAGUCAGCGACUGGGGUGAAGUCAUAACAAGGUAGCCGUA